UACGUAGGUGGCAAGCGUUGUCCGGAAUUAUUGGGCGUAAAGCGCGCGCAGGCGGUUCUUUAAGUCUGAUGUGAAAGCCCACGGCUCAACCGUGGAGGGUCAUUGGAAACUGGAGAACUUGAGUACAGAAGAGGAAAGCGGAAUUCCAGGUGUAGCGGUGAAAUGCGUAGAUAUCUGGAGGAACACCGGUGGCGAAGGCGGCGUUCUGGACUGCAACUGACACUGAGGAACGAAAGCCAGGGGAGCAAACGGG
rnacentral:rRNA from 1 species